GACGAACGCUGGCGGCGUGCUUAACACAUGCAAGUCGAACGGAAAGGCCCUGCUUUUGUGGGGUGCUCGAGUGGCGAACGGGUGAGUAACACGUGAGUAACCUGCCCUUGACUUUGUGAUAACUUCAGGAAACUGGGGCUAAUACCGGAUAGGAGCUCCUGCUGCAUGGUGGGGGUUGGAAAGUGUCGGCGGUUGGGGAUGGACUCGCGGCUUAUCAGCUUGUUGGUGGGGUAGUGGCUUACCAAGGCUUUGACGGGUAGGCGGCCUGAGAGGGUGACCGGCCACAAUGGGACUGAGAGACGGCCCAGACUCCUACGGGAGGCAGCAGUGGGGAAUAUUGCACAAUGGGCGGAAGCCUGAUGCAGCAACGCCGCGUGCGGGAUGACGGCCUUCGGGUUGUAAACCGCUUUCGCCUGUGACGAAGCGUGAGUGACGGUAAUGGGUAAAGAAGCACCGGCUAACUACGUG
rnacentral:rRNA from 1 species